AAGAAAGCGUAAUAGCUCACUGGUCUAAUGACGUUGCGCCGAAAAUGUAACGGGGCUAAGCAUGGUACCGAAGCUUUGAAUUCCGCGUAAGCGGUCUGGUAGGGGAGCGUUCUUCACGGGCAGAAGGUGUGUCGCAAGGCAUGCUGGACUGUGGAGAAGUGAUUAUGCUGACAUGAGUAACGAUAAAACGGGUGAAAAACCCGUUCGCCGUAAACCCAAGGUUUUCCGGGUAAAGGUAAUCUUCCCGGAGUUAGUCGGCCCCUAAGGCGAGGCUGAAAGGCGUAGCUGAUGGGAAACGUGUUAAUAUUCACGUACUUGUGUGUUCGCGCGAUGAAGGGACGCAGGAAGAUAGGCAAGCCGGGCGCUGGUUGUCCCGGUGCAAGCGUGUAGGGAUGAGGAGUUGGCAAAUCCGCUUCUCUCUAUCCUGAGACGCGAGUCCGUGCCCGCAAGGGCUGAAGUUGUCGAGUCUAUGCUGCCUAGAAAAGCUUCUAAGUAUAGGACACGCAAACCGUACCGGAAACCAACUCAGGUGGGUGGGAUGAAUAAUCCAAGGCGCUCGAGAGAACUCUGGCCAAGGAACUCGGCAAAAUAACCCCGUACCUUCGGAAGAAGGGGUGCUUUUUAGGGUGAAACGAUUCACUCUGUCGAGCCCUGAAAAGCCGCAGAGAAAUGGUGGUGGCGACUGUUUACUAAAAACAUAGGUCUGUGCCAAGUCGUAUAGACGACGUAUACGGACUGACGCCUGCCCGGUGCUGGAAGGUUAAAAGGAGGAGUCAGCGCAAGCGAAGCUCCGAAUUGAAGCCCCAGUAAACGGCGGCCGUAACUAUAACGGUCCUAAGGUAGCGAAAUUCCUUGUCGGGUAAGUUCCGACCUGCACGAAUGGCGUAACGAUCUCCACACUGUCUCGGCCAGAGACUCGGUGAAAUUGAAGUCGCGGUGAAAAUGCCGUGUACCCGCAGAAAGACGGAAAGACCCUGUGCACCUUUACUAUAGCUUGACAUUGGGAUUUGAGCCUGCAUGUGUAGCAUAGGUGGGAGCCUGUGAACCCUGUACGCCAGUAUGGGGGGAGGCAACGUUGAAAUACCACCCUUGUUUGUUCAGGUCCCUAACUCUUCGCCGUUACCCGGUAAGAGGACAGUGUCUGGUGGGUAGUUUGACUGGGGCGGUCGCCUCCCAAAAUGUAACGGAGGCAUGCAAAGGUUCCCUCAGGCUGAUUGGAAACCAGCCGUCGAGUGCAAACGCAGAAGGGAGCUUGACUGCAAGAGAGACAUCUCGAGCAGGUACGAAAGUAGGUGUUAGUGAUCCGGUGAUCCCGAAUGGAAGGGUCAUCGCUCAUUGGAUAAAAGGUACGCCGGGGAU
rnacentral:rRNA from 1 species